CAAUAGCGUAUAUUUAAGUUGUUGCAGUUAAAAAGCUCGUAGUUGGAUUUCGGAUGGGACUUGCCGGUCCGUCGUUUCGAUGUGCACUGGCCAGUCCUAUCUUGUUGUCGGGGACUAGAUCCUGGGCUUCACUGUCCGGGACUAGGAGCUGACGAGGUUACUUUGAGUAAAUUAGAGUGUUCAAAGCAAGCCUACGCUCUGAAUACAUUAGCAUGGAAUAACACGAUAGGACUCUGGCUUAUCUUGUUGGUCUGUGAGACCAGAGUAAUGAUUAAGAGGGACAGUCGGGGGCAUUCGUAUUUCAUUGUCAGAGGUGAAAUUCUUGGAUUUAUGAAAGACGAACUUCUGCGAAAGCAUUUGUCAAGGAUGUUUUCAUUAA
rnacentral:rRNA from 1 species